rnacentral:lncRNA from 1 species
CUGCAUGCAGAACAAAUCAAAUGCAGAUAACUGUGGUCUCUCGUGCAGCGGUGCUAUGGAAUGCACUACCAGGAUUUCUGUUGAGGGAAAGUGAUAAAAAAUGUUUUCAGAAAAAACUCCAAAUAUUUUUAACAUCUUUUGAGAUGAGCUGUAUUUCAAGGUUUAUGAAUGUACUUUGGUAUGUUUGGGCUUUUCAGAAUUGAAUUGUGAUUUCUCUAUACCAUAAUUUUAUGUAGAAAUGUGUUUGUGUGUGUAUGGACACGUAUGAAUGAUGUGCACAGUAUGUGUAUGUAUAUAAAAUGUGAUAAUUGUAUGAGAUGAGACCCCAGGAAGAAUAGCAGCUGUAUGUCAGCAGCUAAUGGGGAUCUUAGUAAACAAACAAACAAACAAACCAAGAUUGACCACAAGUUUUUAAUUUGUACUAGAAACCACUGCUAAUGUAUUGAAAAAAACAAGUAAACUUUGUCUUUAAAGACGGUUUUGUUAAUGUCUCUUAGCUGUCUUAGUAUCCUUUAAUUCAUUAAUGGUUGUGAUGUACACCUGCAGGUGUUGGAGCCUCUGCUCUUCCAUGUACAUUCUGACAUGUGUUGGCCCCCUCUCACUAGGAGUGGGUACAAGUGCACCAGUAACAUCACAAGCUUCUUUUUGAUUUCUUUCUUUUUUGUCAAAAAUAUUUAUAGUUGCUAAAAGGCUCUUUGGUUUUUAAUGUUGCCAGGUCAACCUGCCCACUCUACACUCAACAGCUCUGGGAUGAGGUGGAUUUCAGCCGGGAAACAGGUGGGUGUGGCUGAGACUCCCCAGCUGUCUGGCAUCAUCAUUACGGCACCAGAGUAUUUAAGGAGCAGCGUGACACUUCUCCACACUGGUUCAUCACUCAGUUUGGGUUUCAGUCUCCUUCCAUUGUUUCACUGCUCUCCUCUGGUCGCCCGCUCUCAGUCCCCCACCUGCUUCUACCUCCUGGAUCAUCCACUCACCCAGACCUGACUCGCCUCCCCCCUGCUUCCCUUCAACCUGAAGAACAUUCCGUCACGCUGAGCGCCCUUCCUCUGAGUCUGCCGUUAUUCCUGCUACUUCGCAGCGUCUUUAGUUCUCUUUUAUUCUCCUCUUUUAUUUUUUGUUAUAAUAAAUCUUAUUUGUCUUACCUUCUGCUGUUGUGGUGAUUCUGUAUGUUGUGGAUCAAACACCUGGUACCCAACACAACAUUAAUGGUGGCAGGAUACCUCAGAAUAGCGCUACGUCCUCUGCUGUCCUGAUGGGGAAUUGUCUCGUCUCGUCUCUUCUUCUUCCUCCUAUCCGGGUCCAGGUCGAGGGGGCAGCAUCCCAACUAGGGAGUUCCAGACUAUCCUCUGGGCAAUUGGUUUGCAACAAUCCCCAGCUGAUGGAGUGGCGCAGACCACUCAAAACUUUCUCAGUGGCCUAGUGGUAGAGUGGCCAUCUGGGACUGGGAGAUAAUGGUUCAAAUCCCAGUGGGGUCAUACCAAAGGGACCCAAUGCCUUCCUGCUUGACACCCAGCUGUAAGGGGUUGGAUUGGGGGUUAAACCACCAAAUAGUUCCCGAGUGCAGCCACCGCUGCAGCUCACCACUCCCCACGAGGAUGGGUCAAAUGUGCAGAUGAAUUUCAGUAGUGUGUAAAAACGCUGGCAGUCAGAGGCUUUCUGUUCAGAAAAUGGCUGGCAGUAAAUUAAUUAAACUGUUAAUGAUACUUUUGCUAAAGGAAAAGGUUGAUUGAUUGAUUGAUUGAUUGAUUAGUUGAUUGAUUGAAAUGUUUAUUUGAACAUAAGACAAAAACUGUUUAAAUCAAUAAACAGUAAAAAAGGAAAGAUAUAAAUUAAUAAAAAAGUCUAUGACAGACAAGAUGUUAUGAUUUAAAAAACACAGCUUUCUUACAGUUUUCUGCUGCCUCUCUGAUACCAUGUUGAAAAAUCUAAUUUAGGUUUAAUUUGUUCUAAUAAAUAAAGAUUUCAGUAAUUAAACUUGCAACAAACAACACAUUAGAAUUUUACGUGCUACGGUUGUUGGAUUCAAUGGUAGUUUUCAGUAAAAUGUUUACAGUAACUGAAUGAGUAAUUGAUGAUCUUUCUCAUUGUAAAACAUUACAUCUACAUCACAAUCUAAACCCCAAACUUUCACAAAACAAAUUAUAACAACAGAGAUACAACUCUGAUGAUGCUGUUUGUGAGCCCCCCUUCCCCAGAAUCACCCGUUGUUGUCUGGCUCCCCAAAAUUUGACCAAAAAUCAGUUGAACCAGAAGCUGUUAAUGCAUUCACAAGAUAAACUCUGCGCUGCAUCACAUUCUGCUAUGCAAAUCAGCUGCAGGUAAUGAAGCUUUUGCAGUGUGAAAAGGCCAAUUACCCUCAUAUGUGGUGGCUGGGACAAGAGUGUGCUCGGGCUCCCUCCAGGCUAAAGACAGAGCCAGUAAACACCUCAUCAGCUGAUGACAUACACACGGAGCUGGAAAUCCUUGUGAAACACACUCGCAGACACACACUUCCACCUUAAAUGGUGCACUUUAGCAGAUAAGUAUGAAGAAAAAUACUUUUAUAUGAAUGUAAACACAAAUAAUGCAGAGUGUUUACUUUGUUACAGACUGAAGAACUGUAAAUAGAAGGAAAUUAUAUGCAGUUAAGCAGCCAGUGAGUUGGGAGAAGAUAUAAAAAACAAAUAUCCCUCCUUUGUCUUCUUUUGUUUUUAACUGUUUGCCGUUCAUUCAUCGGGCACUUAUCUGUUUGAUUUAGGACCUGUUAUGUCUUGUCUUGAGUUCACAUGGAUAAAAACAUGAUUCUUUCUCCGAUGCACAGUAAGUCAGAGAAAAAUGAAGCGUGGCUCAGUGUUCAUGAGACAAUAUUCAUCAGACUGGAGAGGAGAACGCUGACAUGCAGCAGGAGGCCACUUAUGUCACCAGUUGCAGAGGAUCGUGGGUAGGGAGGUGAAAAUUAAAGCACGCAGGCGGCGUCUUGCACCUCCGUCUUGACUGAAACUCCCCACCCCUCCCUCUCUGGUCCUCUCUGGUGUCAGUGGCCUGUGAAUGUACUGUACCCGUGUGAGUACAGGAUGGGUGCAGGUGAGUCGCAGGUGUAGCCGUGCAUAUUUAGGGUGUUUCAUUAUGGGUCUGAAAUGGGUUCCAUGCGCCUCCCAGCUCGUCAUACAAAUGACUCUGAUCUCGUGUAGAGAAGGGCGUGUGGACUGGGAAGAUGAGAAAACCUGUUGGGUGAGUCAACGGCAUCUAGAAUCGCAUUGUUUCAUGAAUAUUAGGGUAGAACUAUGCCAAAUGUGUUGGGUGUAAGCUUCUUGUUUCUAGAAAUUACUGUAAGGCCGGUUUACCUGAUAGGAUUUUGGCCAAUUUUCAAAACAUGACAGACCAUGUGGGUAACAAAAAAGAUAAAUCACUCAUAUAUCAGUUCUGGUCCUACAGCGUCAGUGUUCAUGAACACUUUUGAGCUAUGCUUGUGAAACUGGCAGGACAUUUUUGAGCCACACAGGACAAUGGCAACUCAACUCUGUCUCCUAUCCCAGCCUGGGCAGGACUGCGGGAAGGCCGCUGAAAUGUUCCAGGGUCACUGCAACCCUCCAACCCUCAAUGCUCCUCCCCCUAUCCACACUGAGGUGACAUGCGCUGCUUAUCGUGGCUGCAGGAACUGAAGUAGGGAUAGUCCCAACCCACCACCCCACCUAGUGGACACUUAUGUUGUGUUGUCUGAAGUCUGUUGCAUAUAUGUUUGAGAUGUUUUUUUGCAGAGAAGAGCUGCCCUCCUGGGGGAAGGUAACUCUGAAGUGCCUUUUUUCCCUCCACCUGAACCAAUCCUCAUGUAACCCUCUUAUCUCUAUUAAGGUAGCGCGACUCAGGGUUGCGAAUGACCACAGUCACCAGUUCUUGUCAUGUGUCUUGCCCAUGUAUGUCUGAUCUCUGAAUUGUGUGUACUGAAACUCUAAUUUCCCUCUGGGAUUAAUAAAGUAUCUUUGAUUUGAUUGAUUGAUUUGUCUAAAUACCUCUGCCAAUAUUACAGCUUGGUUCGAAACCAAUUAUUGGACCAUCCAGGGACGAAAUUUUGAUUUCAGAAGUGGGGGGGACACACCAGGCUUGUGCGGAUUUGGGGUGGGGGUGUUAUGUAAAGACCCUUUUACACGUCACAUGCCCAUCUCAAUAAUUUUUCCAUCCUCAAUAUAUAUAUAUAUAUAU